UAUGUUGCGCGUUUUUGUAAUCAUUCCGAAUAUAUAAAAUGUACUCAGUCAACGUUAAAAAAUAACGACAAUAGUUUCAUUUUAAAAUGACAAAUCAACUACAGCCUACCUUUUAAUUAAGCCUUAUAUCCCGUGCGUAUGAAUAACAGUGAAAAAGGGGAAACGCAUAACAUCCUCUCGCUUAAACAUGUGCCAUUAUGAAGUUACUAACAGUAUUAGUAUAUGAGUCGUGUCGACGAUUUACUAGGACACAUUUGAUAUGUUUAUUCUCUACUCUUCUCUUCUAUAUAUUAUAAUAAACCAAAUAGAAAUAAUUGCAUACUCAGUGCAUUGGUUUUGCGUUAAUUCCAGCUGCCUAAAGUUGCCCCAUCGUUAUCUACAGUGUGUCAUCAUCAUGUA